CUACGGGGUGCAGCAGGGAGGAAGAGGGAAGAAAGGGGGGAAAAUGGAGGCAGCAACGCAGGGUGGAGGAUUACGCAUUUCGGUGUGUAAACUCCUUUUAUCUUCCCAGAAAAUGACGGUAGCAUAUGAAUAAGCACCGGCUAACUCCGUGCCAGCAGCCGCGGUAAUACGGAGGGUGCAAGCGUUACUCGGAAUCACUGGGCGUAAAGGACGCGUAGGCGGGUUGGAAAGUCAGGUGUGAAAUCCUACAGCUUAACUGUAGAACUGCACUUGAAACUUCUAAUCUAGAGUAUGGGAGGGGGAGAUGGAAUUAGUGGUGUAGGGGUAAAAUCCGUAGAUAUCACUAGGAAUACCUAAAGCGAAGGCGAUCUCCUGGAACAUUACUGACGCUAAGGCGUGAAAGCGUGGGGAGCAAACAGGAUUAGAUACCCGCGUAGUC
rnacentral:rRNA from 1 species